ACGAACGCUGGCGGCGUGCUUAACACAUGCAAGUCGAACGCUGAAGCUCAGCUUUUGUUGGGUGGAUGAGUGGCGAACGGGUGAGUAACACGUGAGUAACCUGCCUCCUUCUUUGGGAUAACGCCCGGAAACGGGUGCUAAUACUGGAUAUUCACUGGUCUUCGCAUGGGGGUUGGUGGAAAGGGUUUUUCUGGUGGGGGAUGGGCUCGCGGCCUAUCAGCUUGUUGGUGGGGUGAUGGCCUACCAAGGCUUUGACGGGUAGCCGGCCUGAGAGGGUGACCGGUAACAGUGGGACUGAGAAACGGCCCAGACUCGUACGGGGGGCAGCAGUGGGGAAUAUUGCACAAUGGGCGCAAGCCUGAUGCCGCGACGCCGCGUGAGGGAUGGGGGCCUUCGGGUUGUGAACCUCUUUCGCUCGUGGUCAAGCCGCAACAAUGGUUGUGGUGAGGGUAGUGGGUAAAGAAGCGCCGGCUAACUACGUG
rnacentral:rRNA from 1 species